rnacentral:rRNA from 1 species
UUCCUACGGGGGGCUGCAGUGGGGAAUUUUGGACAAUGGGCGCAAGCCUGAUCCAGCCAUGCCGCGUGCAGGAUGAAGGCCUUCGGGUUGUAAACUGCUUUUGUACGGAACGAAAAGGCUCUGGUUAAUACCUGGGGCUCAUGACGGUACCGUAAGAAUAAGCACCGGCUAACUACGUGCCAGCAGCCGCGGUAAUACGUAGGGUGCAAGCGUUAAUCGGAAUUACUGGGCGUAAAGCGUGCGCAGGCGGUUAUAUAAGACAGAGGUGAAAUCCCCGGGCUCAACCUGGGAACUGCCUUUGUGACUGUAUAGCUAGAGUACGGCAGAGGGGGAUGGAAUUCCGCGUGUAGCAGUGAAAUGCGUAGAUAUGCGGAGGAACACCGAUGGCGAAGGCAAUCCCCUGGGCCUGUACUGACGCUCAUGCACGAAAGCGUGGGGAGCAAACAGGAUUAGAUACCCCAGUAGUC